rfam:Asian citrus Psyllid, Diaphorina citri - Florida Strain, whole genome shotgun sequence.
ACCUCGUUAGCUUGGUUGGUAGAGCGGCUGCCUUGUAAGUGCUAGGCCGCGGGUUCAAUUUCCGCCCGGGGCG